UAAUCGCCGCCCGUCUAGCUGCGGGACCCGACCCCAACGCAACGUCUCACAGAUCCAGGCGGGGGGUUCCGUCCGUUCGGGCGCCAAUUGUUGGGUGAGAUCGUUGCGGGAAAACAAGUCUCAUGGUAUCAUGGUCAACAAGUUUCCAGUUUAUUGGAGUCGAUUACAGUUUCUUUAUACAAGCACUAACUAGUUUAUACAUAUUGCAAAAGCGAAGCUCAGGAUUGGUUACCUUUCUAUUAACACAUAUAUCUCUUUGCGAUAAGCCUUGCGGUUACUGCUUCUUUAUACUUGAUUACUUUUCUGCAUACCAAGCAAUAUUUCAUUCUUAUCUAGACAUCUGUAUACUCAAGGUUGUUAGGAGAUGUCUGGCUCUCAAGUUUGAUAGAAAACAUCUGUUUCUCAGGGGUAUAGUUUUCGUGCUACAAGGCACGUAUUCUCACACUCUCAUCAACUUAACCCUUUCGUGCCCCUUGCUGCGCAGCCAUUCUUCAGCUAAACUCUCAACAUGUGGGGUUCUGGGCUUGUGCCCGGAGCGUGGUGUGGUGGGCUGAAGGGCGCUGCUGAGGGGCUGCCAGGUGCCUAUGGCACACCGCCCUGAGAGCGCCCGGUCUCGUCUGAUCUCAGAAGCAAAGCUGGGUCGGGCACUGCUGCUGCUGGGGGCAGCGAGGAUGACGUCGAGGAUGACAACCUCUUGCUCCACCUGACCACCGGCAGGCUGAAGAUGGUGGACUUUGAUUCUGACAUCUCCUUUAAAGCCAGGUUCCACAGGGAAUUUGCAGAUGAGUCCACACACAGGGGAUGCUCCCAGAUUUGGGCAUUGCUCAGCCUGGCUGGGAACCAAAGGUUCCCCCUUUGCUGGGGCGGAUGCAGCUGAUCCUUCAGUCAGCUGCCAGGCUGCUUUUGGCAGGGCUGGGGGCAUGGGCUGGGGUGGGUACGAAAUGGGAGUGGGCUCCUGGCCCUGCCAACAGCCCCCAACACCCACCGUGCCCUGGGCUGGGGCUGGGGCAGCCAGCCCAACACAAACAAACCCCCACGGUGGGAGCAGAGGUGGGACUGCAGAGCCUGUGCAGGGGCUGCUUUGCUUUGCAGGCAGGGAAGGGCUUGGGCUGCUCCACUGCCCUUGUUUGCUUUGGGAACACCAUGGGGGCAGUGCAGGGGAAGGGAGAAACCUGGGAUUCCCUCACCCGUGGUGGGUUUUUCCAUGGCGUGCAGGGGUUGGGCCUUCCUUAAAGCCCCAACAGAGAUAAGAUCUUUGACCUUUUUUCUUCUUCCCCUUUUUGUCUGUAAUCUAUUUUCAAUACUUUGAGGACGUGCUUGGGAGCAGCUGCGGCGUGGAUGGGCCGUGCCCUUGGAGAAGGCUGAGGGCAUCGUUUGGGACCAGCUUUUCUUCCAGCGGUGGAUGGUGUGAGCCGGGCUCUGCGGGUGCUGAGGCUGCUCUGGGCUCUGCCAGGGCUCUGCUGGAGCUCAGCACCAGGCCGCAAUCACCAAAGGAGAAAUGGUGUGACCUGCAGCACAGACUUGCUUGAGCAUUUCAGCAACACAGCUCAAGUUUGCAGAGUGUACACCUCCAAGGAAAAACAUGGCACCACCCAAGAAAUAAACUUGUUCAAUAACUUCUGAAAU